rnacentral:rRNA from 1 species
AGAACGAACGCUGGCGGCGUGGAUAAGACAUGCAAGUCGAACGGGAUUACUUUUGUAGCAAUACAGAAGUAAUUUAGUGGCGAACGGGUGCGUAACACGUGGGCAAUCUGCCGAAAAGUGGGGGAUAGCUCGCCGAAAGGCGAAUUAAUACCGCAUGUGGUGAGGGACGACAUCUUCCUGAAUCCAAAGCCGGGGCAACCUGGCGCUUUUUGAGGAGCCCGCGGCCUAUCAGCUAGUUGGUGAGGUAACGGCUCACCAAGGCUUUGGACGGGUAGCUGGUCUGGAGAGGACGACCAGUACACACUAGGAACUGAGACACGGUCCAGACACCGUACGGGUGACAGCAGUCGAGUAAUUUUUCACAAGUGGGGGAAACCUAGGAAGGACGCGACCGGCCGCGGUGGAACGGGAGUA